rnacentral:rRNA from 1 species
GAUGAACGCUGGCGGCGUGCCUAAUACAUGCAAGUCGAGCGAACGGACGAGAAGCUUGCUUCUCUGAUGUUAGCGGCGGACGGGUGAGUAACACGUGGAUAACCUACCUAUAAGACUGGGAUAACUUCGGGAAACCGUAGCUAAUACCGGAUAAUAUUUUGAACCGCAUGGUUCAAAAGUGAAAGACGGUCUUGCUGUCACUUAUAGAUGGAUCCGCGCUGCAUUAGCUAGUUGGUAAGGUAACGGCUUACCAAGGCAACGAUGCAUAGCCGACCUGAGAGGGGGAUCGGCCACACGGGAACUGGGACACGGUCCGGACCCUAAGGGAGGCAGCCGUAGGGAAUCUUCCGGCAUGGGCGGAAGCCUGACGGAGCAACGCCGGGUGAGUGAUGAAGGUCCUCGGAUCGUAAAACUCUGUUAUUAGGGAAGAACAUAUGUGUAAGUAACUGUGCACAUCUUGACGGUACCUAAUCAGAAAGCCACGGCUAACUACGUG